rnacentral:misc_RNA from 1 species
GAUGAAGAACGUAGCGAAAUGCGAUACGUAAUGUGAAUUGCAGAAUUCAGUGAAUCAUCGAAUCUUUGAACGCACAUUGCGCCUGCCAGCACUCUGGCAGGCAUGCCUGUUCGAGCGUCAUUUCAACCAUCAAGCCCUAGGCUUGCGUUGGAGCCCUGCGGCUGCCGCAGGCCCCUAAAAGCAGUGGCGGGCUCGCUAUCACACCGAGUGCAGUAGAUUACUCUUCGCUCAGGGCGUGCAGCGGGUUCCGGCCGUGAAACCCCCUACUUUUAAAGGUUGACCUCGGAUCAGGUAGGAAUACCCGCUGAACUUAAGCAUAUCAAUAAGCGGAGGA